UUCAAAGCCCGAAGUAGCAGUCUAGGCUUCUUCACAUUGUGUCAUCUGACUCUGACUCUCUUCCCCCCUCUUUCACUCACAAUCACAGUCCCUUGUAAUUGCACUGGGCUCUCGCAGGUGACUGAGGAUUAUCUCUUAAAGUCAGCUGACUACUAACUCUAAAUCCCCCUCGCCACGUAACAUGACAUAGCCUCUGGGUCCGGGGAUUGAGGCGCAGACAUUACCGGGAGGCCACAAUCCUGCUGAUCACACACCUAGGUUUACAUUUCUGGGCGUUCUCCCUUCCCAGGGAGAACAAGAAGAGAGAACAGUAGGAAAGUUAUUCUGCCCCCUUCCUCAUCCUUCUCUGCCAUCCCCCACCUCACUUCCCCUUCACAAUAAGCCCCAUAGCUCAGCUCACCAGCGUGAAACAGCAUCCACAGACUCCAGAGUACCUAUCUGGACCCACGGAGCACUGUCUCCAGACACCUGUCUGUGUGCCAUGUGCUGUCCAGACCCACGACUGGCCAUAGGAACAGAUGUCUGCUGCCGAUGGCUAAGGAUGUCAGGCUCUUUCCCCUGGGCCUCACAGGGAGGGCCUCACUCUGGGUGAAGAAUCUCAUUUCUCAACCUUUGGGAUUAGGAGGGUCCAAUCAUCCAGAAGUGGUUUUUUUCCUGAGAGACCUAAGCCCACUGAAAUUCCAGGUUGCUACUCCCAGAGGCAGGGCAGACUAGGCACACAUGUCAGAACCUCUCUUUCCCAAUACGGAGCCACGGGCUGUUUGGUGAGCAUAGAACCACAGGAAAAAGAAUUUAGGUUGUCUGGAAGGGAUGUUUCCAUCCAUCAUGGAAGCUCGAUGACUCACAUUUUCCCAGCAUCCAAAUACUCUUGUUAAGCGGCCUGUGAGUUUCCCACUGAGUGUUUUAAAUAAAUGCUUUAUACAUACACCCUCUCCCACCCCCACAGCUCCAGGAUGACCCCAAAUGUGCGAUUUCUUCAUCCUUACCCUGUCAAAACACCCUCAGUACAGCUCCCCAGAAACCACAUCCCCUUAUGCAAGGCACACGCUGCAGCUUCAUCCAUCCACAGGCAUCUGAAGGAGCGACCAGCUUCCAAUGAGGGGUCCGGUGGGAUGAGAGAGCUGGGGGAGGCAAGUCCACCUCGUAACCUUGUCCCUAGUUAAGAACUUCUCUUGUGUGCUUCAAGAUAGAACUACAGAAUGAGAAAGCUGGACGUUGGAAGAGGGACCCCAACAUUUAUCUAGCCCAAUCCCACU
rnacentral:lncRNA from 10 species